rnacentral:rRNA from 1 species
UAGGGAAUCUUCCGCAAUGGGCGAAAGCCUGACGGAGCAACGCCGCGUGAGUGAUGAAGGUCUUCGGAUCGUAAAACUCUGUUAUUAGGGAAGAACAUAUGUGUAAGUAACUAUGCACGUCUUGACGGUACCUAAUCAGAAAGCCACGGCUAACUACGUGCCAGCAGCCGCGGUAAUACGUAGGUGGCAAGCGUUAUCCGGAAUUAUUGGGCGUAAAGCGCGCGUAGGCGGUUUUUUAAGUCUGAUGUGAAAGCCCACGGCUCAACCGUGGAGGGUCAUUGGAAACUGGAAAACUUGAGUGCAGAAGAGGAAAGUGGAAUUCCAUGUGUAGCGGUGAAAUGCGCAGAGAUAUGGAGGAACACCAGUGGCGAAGGCGACUUUCUGGUCUGUAACUGACGCUGAUGUGCGAAAGCGUGGGGAUCAAACAGG